rnacentral:rRNA from 1 species
AUUGAACGCUGGCGGCAUGCCUUACACAUGCAAGUCGAACGGUAACAGGUCUUCGGAUGCUGACGAGUGGCGAACGGGUGAGUAAUGCAUCGGAACGUGCCCAGUAGUGGGGGAUAGCCCGGCGAAAGCCGGAUUAAUACCGCAUACGACCUGAGGGUGAAAGGGGGGGAUCGCAAGACCUCUCGCUAUUGGAGCGGCCGAUGUCAGAUUAGCUAGUUGGUGGGGUAAAGGCCUACCAAGGCAACGAUCUGUAGUUGGUCUGAGAGGACGACCAGCCACACUGGGACUGAGACACGGCCCAGACUCCUACGGGAGGCAGCAGUGGGGAAUUUUGGACAAUGGGCGCAAGCCUGAUCCAGCAAUGCCGCGUGCAGGAAGAAGGCCUUCGGGUUGUAAACUGCCUUUGUCAGGGAAGAAAUCUUCUGGGUUAAUACCUCGGGAGGAUGACGGUACCUGAAGAAUAAGCACCGGCUAACUACGUGCCAGCCGCCGCGGUAACAC